GCCGAUGAUUCAUUAGAGCUUGCUCUUGGGAAUGAGGAAGGCAGGGCAGAGAGAGGUGGAACAGUGAUGCAGCUGGAUCACAGGCGAGCCUUAGCCAGGAAAGUGGAAAGCUGGGGUGGACCUUGGGAGAUGUAUGGACUGGGGCAAGAGGUCUGGGCCCACCAGUCAUUAUAUGUAGCUUGACUCUGGGAAAAAGCAUAACCUUUUAGCUGAGGGCACUCCUCUUCAUUCAACGGAGGCAGUGAGUGCUUAGUCCUGAAGCAGGAAUCUGGGUGGCACACGGACAAGCAUACCAGCCAGGCCUUUGCGUUUCAGUUCAGUGUUUCCAUGAUACCACGUGUCACCGCUUGUCAAGAAUUGCCCGUAGACAUCUUUAGGCUCUUGAUUUACCAUGUAAUUAAAUAAAUUUCUUGGCUCCAGAAAGAUGCUGAUCAAUAAUGUAAAAUCAUACAGUUGUAAAUAAUGAAUGAAUCUGCAGAUGCAAAUGGGAUAUAAUUAUUGCAUAGUGCUUUCACUGAAGAGAUACUGAUUAUUUCAGGUGGAAGCUGAUUUUGUUUGUUUGUUUGUGGUUGUUGUUUUUUUAAGUAGGCUUCAUGCCCAGUUGUGGAGCCCAACACUGGGUUUGAACUCACAACCCUGAGAUUAAGACCUGAGCUGAUAUCAAGAGUCGGACACUCAACUAACUGAGCCACCCAGAUUGUGGCCAUCAGGAGGCAAGUGGCUGAGAUGCUUGAAAAACAUGCAGAAGGGUUCCAGUGAAGCACCAUCAGUCCUCUGGGAAGGGGUCGUAUGCAGGGAUGUAAGAAAUUGGGUGAGAAGAUUGAUAUCGCUUUGCAUAAUAAGUCUCCAGAGAGUGAGGAUGAAAUAAAGGCAUUUCAGAUAAAGUGGCUGAAAGAAGUCACCACUCACAAACUAUUGCUGGAAGAACCACAGAAGGAUACGCUUCACUGUAAGAAAGGAAUUAAACCUAGAAGAAAGGAUUGGGGUGCAAGAGGCAAUGGACAAGAACUCAUCACAAAGUGAUGUUAUUUCGGAAAAUGCUAUAAAAACACAUCAAAAGGAGAUAAAUGGAUUGCACACAGACCUGGGAAAUCUGGGAUCGCGUGCAAAAACAGAUUCACCCCAUCCAGUGGACUCUUUCUCUACGGGAUUAUGUCAUCUCCUGUGGCAGAGCAUUUUGGUUCUAGAAACAUGUUUGCUCAGAGGAAACACUGCCGACAAAGAAGGAGAAGGACUCAAACUCCAAUGUUGGAUCGGUAAAGGAUUGCUUGAGCUUUGGAAGCAGCAGGUCUGGAAUGCGGAAAGGAACAGCGCUAGCUUUAAAAAUACAUUUUUUUGUCUUGAGAUCAAGUGAAAAGAGAACAUAACAGGAAGGAUGCCAUCGGUGGGACAAACAGUGUGAGCCCACAUGUUGUAGAGGAGGAAUGAGACCAAUCUGGGAACAGUGCAAGUUUGGAAAGAAACAUCUGACUCUACCUGAAGAAAUAUGGGUUGAGGGAAAUGGAAACAGAACAUAAGAGUCAAAAAUUAGGUUGUAUUGCCACAGAAAAAGUGGUAGAGAAAGCAGUAUUUCUGCUGGCCUGAAAGAAAGCUAGAAAACACAUCAGAGGAGACACGUUGCUAUUUUCUGCACCUCUAAAAGCUUGAGAAACGUCACCCAUGGUAACUCCAGCUCAGUUACACACUGAUGGAGGAUUCUCUUGUUGGUACAAAUAUGGAGGCAGAAGGGAAUCUAACCCAGGCUAUAGGGAUGUUAAGACUCAAAACCCCCUAGUCUAAACUAGUCAUGUCUUUGGCAUAGAUGACAUCAUGGCUUCAACCAACCAACUGACCGACCAACCAACCAAACACAUGGCAUCUGGUGGGGGGAAAAGAAAUAGAGAUGAGCAAGAAAUUGAGACAAUGGGGAAUAUAAGCCCAGGAACACUAGUGCUUAGAGAUGUCUCUUGUAAAUGCACAAGCACCAGGAUAAGAGAGCAGAAGCUGCACUCUUAGAUUGGGUUCAAACUUAGUUCAGUAUUUGAGUACUAGGUAUAUGGAAACAAGUGUGAAAACAAAUUAAGGAAUUUUUAAAAUGCAGAAUGAACACCAGUGAUAAAGAAAGGAGAGAGCUCUGGGAAUUGGGGAGACUCUCAAUGCAAAUAUCUAAAUCAUGCAAGAAGAGGGACAGUUUACAAGAGUGGUGGAUUUUUCAAUAAAAUUUGGAGUUAGUAUCACUAUUAA